rnacentral:rRNA from 1 species
CAAAUUUUAAAUCUACCUGGUUUCCAGGUCGAGUUGUAAUUUGAAGAAGUGUUUUUUACUUUCCGGGUUGGGUUAAAUCCUUUGGGAUAAGGUAUCAUGGAGGGUGAGAAUCCCGUGUAUACCAACCGCAGGAUYGUUUAAUAUACACUUUCUAAGAGUCGAGUUGUUUGGGAAUGCAGCUCUAAAUGGGUGGUAAAUUUCACCUAAUGCUAAAUAUAAGCGAGAGACCGAUAGCGAACAAGUACCGUGAGGGAAAGAUGAAAAGAACUUUGAAAAGAGAGUUAAAUAGUACGUGAAAUUGUUGAAAGGGAAACGGUURAAGUCAGUCAUGCCGGCGGGAAUCAACUUAGGGGAAACUCUGAGUGCACUUCUUCGCYUGGCAGGUUAGCGUCGAUUUUGGAUGUCAUAAAAUGACUGGGGGAAGGUAGCUCUUUCGGGAGUGUUAAGCCCUURGUAGAUGUGAUGUCYGGGAUCGAGGAUUGCAACGGAUACCYUUUGGGCUARCCGCCUAGUCUCUAAUACGAAGUUGGGUUAUGGACAGCACGCUGACUGUGAUCUGAUUUUCGGUUAAAA